AAGUAGAACAAAAGCAAAAUCACGCAGUUCUAUGAAAAGGAGAGGACAAAAUCAAACUCUCAAAAGAAAGAGAAACACCAUAAUGAAAUAAAGAUCUAAUAAACAAACGAAAUCGUACAACAAGGUGAGAGAUAGCAAAUCUACCUUGUUUUCAUGAUCCAUCAUAGGACAACAAAGAAAUGGAGAACUUGCACAAUCUCCUUCGGAUCUUUUGUUGGUGGUGAGAGAGUGAAGCUGCAACAUGAUCUGAUGGAGCCAAAUUCCAAUCACUCCCACCUCUUACUGAAACUCACAAGAACAAUCAUAAUUCUACCUCUACUAACCAAGCCCACACCUCCUAUCACCAAUGCUCAUCAAGAACCCGUAAUUCCCUUCGCAAGUUGACACGACGAAAAACCUCGAAAACGCGGUAAUUUCAGUACCACCAACACCAUGGAUAGAUUUGGCUCAUGCCUGACAACCAGAUCAUGCUGGCAGCUUCAUUCUCUCACACCAGCAAAACUUCGUUCUUGCAAGAACAUGAGACAGACAAGUAAUACACACAGGAAGGAGAAGGAGAGGAAUGGAGAAGUGGCCAUUGGCAUGUACUACUACUACUGAUAAUAUAGCAGCAGUGGGCAAAGGAGAAGGAAGAAGACAGACAAAAACAGCGGCACGAGGUGUGUGCAAUAUGGUUUGUCACAAGCAUACAUACAUGGUCCCU
rnacentral:precursor_RNA from 1 species